rnacentral:rRNA from 1 species
GAUGAACGCUGGCGGCGUGCCUAAUACAUGCAAGUAGAACGCUGAAGCUUGGUGCUUGCACCGAGCGGAUGAGUUGCGAACGGGUGAGUAACGCGUAGGUAACCUGCCUCUUAGCGGGGGAUAACUAUUGGAAACGAUAGCUAAUACCGCAUAAAAGUCGAUAUCGCAUGAUAUUGAUUUGAAAGGUGCAAAUGCAUCACUAAGAGAUGGACCUGCGUUGUAUUAGCUAGUUGGUGAGGUAACGGCUCACCAAGGCGACGAUACAUAGCCGACCUGAGAGGGGUGUCGGCCACACUGGGAACGGGAAACGGCCCAGACCCCUACGGGAGGCAGCAGUAGGGAAUCUUCGGCAAUGGGGGCAACCCUGACCGAGCAACGCCGCGUGAGUGAAGAAGGUUUUCGGAUCGUAAAGAUCUGUUGUAAGAGAAGAACGAGUGUGAGAGUGGAAAGUUCACACUGUGACGGUAACUUACCAGAAAGGGACGGCUAACUACGUG